AUUGAACGCUGGCGGCAGGCCUAACACAUGCAAGUCGAGCGGAUGAAGGGAGCUUGCUCCUGGAUUCAGCGGCGGACGGGUGAGUAAUGCCUAGGAAUCUGCCUGGUAGUGGGGGAUAACGUCCGUAAACGGGCGCUAAUACCGCAUACGUCCUGAGGGAGAAAGUGGGGGAUCUUCGGACCUCACGCUAUCAGAUGAGCCUAGGUCGGAUUAGCUAGUUGGUGGGGUAAAGGUCUACCAAGGCGACGAUCCGUAACUGGUCUGAGAGGAUGAUCAGACACACUGGAACUGAGACACGGUCCGGACUCCUACGGGAGGCAGCAGUGGGGAAUAUUGGACAAUGGGCGAAAGCCUGGUCCAGCCAUGCCGCGUGUGUGGAGAAGGUCUUCGGAUUGUAAAGCACUUUAAGUUGGGAGGAAGAGCAGUAAGUUAAUACCUUGCUGUUUUGACGUUACCGAAAGAAUAAGCACCGGCUAACUUCGUG
rnacentral:rRNA from 1 species